UGAACUCAGAGCCACGGUGGAUCCUAAAAUUUAUUUUCUGCCUGUUAUGGAACUAUUUAAUCAAAUCCCUUGAAUCUAAGAGGGGCAUACCGGUAGCUCAUAGGCCAGAAAACUGCCUUCUAAAAUUUGUGAGUUUCUAGCUAUCAAACUACAUAUUGCAAAGGUGCCACUCAUAUUCUCAGAUUCUCUCUCCAGUGUCCAAGAGAGAGGUGUGGCAGCCAACAAUCAGGAGUCCAAAAUCGGUGCCUACCUCCAAGGCAGAAUGAGCCAGGGAUCUCCUUCUCUAGUUCUGUCAAUGUACAGUGUAAGUACCCAAGUUAUUAAUUACUGAACCCUUUCUGCAGAGGUGCUUAUCUUUUAUUAUGGCGGGGGGGGGUGACAGGUACAGGGCUAGAUCACCAAAGUACGAGUCAGCAUAACUUAUCUUUCAAACUUCACUUAUGGGCUGCCUCAAAGCCAGGAUGCUCAGGACAGUACAAGACAAAAAGAAAAUAUAAUCAGGUCAAUUUAUAGAAUGGCUAGCCAGUAUUCACUUUAAAUUAACGGAGGUGAGCCAGGCUACAGAUGUGUUACUAGAACAAUGUUAUGGAGGUUGGAGAUUUCGUGUCCUUGGUGCUUGACCUUACACUUGGAUGUACAUCAGUAUUCUUAGGGAAGACCAAGACCCAGCUGAAGAAAGCUGCAUAAGUAAACUGUGGCAGGCCAAGAUACCCAAGCCUUCGCUGUAAUCUGUCACUCGUGGGCAAAAGCCCUAUUUGAAGUCUACCUCACUUACAGGGGAGACAGGACUCUUCUGGAAUGUAGCCCUGCUGAAGAUUCAACUUAGGGCUUCCCUAGCACCGAGCUACAUCCCUAAGCCUUUUAAAAAUUUGAGAUAGGGUCUCCUUAAGUUGCCCUGGCAGGCCUUGAACUUGUUAUCCUCUUGCCUUUGGCUUUUACGUAGCUGGGAUUACAGGUGGGCCACCAUGCCUGACUCUGACAAGUUUUUUAUAAUAAAGUGUACUAUGAUUGUCUCCUGUUAGAAAAUCUUGUUAUUUUCUAAAGAAAAAAACCUGAUUAGACAAAAAAGUUCCCACUUUAAAAUAUGAGCAUUUAAAAUGAAGUAAAUAGAUUACUGCAAUGGAAAUUGUUGGUUCCCAUUCAGCCUCUGUUCUUUUUCUCUCUUUGUAACUUUUCCCAAUUUUAUUCUGGUACCCAUUUCUCUACUCUUUGAUUCUAAGUAUGACAACCAUAUUUCUAGUUCUAGGAUGGGCCUUAGUUGGCCUAAAAUGAUUUGGGAAUUCUCUCCUGCAGUCACUGGCUCAGGGAACUUACAGCACGGUACAUUCCUUGACCACAAGGGCUUGUUCAGAAACUUCCUGUGACCACCAGCACCACCCCUGCCCCAUAAAAAAAGAAACUUCAAGUGUCAUAACCUGGGCAAGUUAUAAGGGGAGGCUGAGUUUUGGGGAGAGAAAUACCAGCUUUUCUGAGCUGCCUUUUUUGCCUGCUGGAUGGGAUGAUGUGUGAAUGUGAAACCUGUGACAUGGCCUUUUCCCUCCGUGAAGGUAACAGGCCUAAGGAUGAAGCUGGUAUUACUAAACAGACAACUGAGUCAACCUAGCCCCCCAGUCCACCUCUGGACCAUAAAGCUUCCUUUUUUAAUUUCUCCAAGAUCUCUUCUGGAGUUGUAGAGGCCAAAAGUUUCACCACCUUUUCACGAGAUUUACCACCCUGAACCAAAGACAAAAAAGCACUCAACAUUGUGAUGCUGUCAGGGACAGCAGACAUGGUCUUGGUGGGGACCAUACAGACAGGCUACCAAAGGCUCAGCUGCACUUACUGGCAGUUUCUGGUCUAACCAAGGAUGACCUCUCAGCUUCUACCUUACUACAGAUUUUUACACCUUGCCAGGGCCUUUACCUUUAUAUCUAUGGUAAUAAAAGCACUCUAUAAUAAUAAAAGCUCUUGGCAUUAAAA